rnacentral:rRNA from 1 species
AUUGAACGCUGGCGGCAGGCCUAACACAUGCAAGUCGAGCGGAUGACGGGAGCUUGCUCCUUGAUUCAGCGGCGGACGGGUGAGUAAUGCCUAGGAAUCUGCCUGGUAGUGGGGGACAACGUUUCGAAAGGAACGCUAAUACCGCAUACGUCCUACGGGAGAAAGCAGGGGACCUUCGGGCCUUGCGCUAUCAGAUGAGCCUAGGUCGGAUUAGCUAGUAGGUGAGGUAAUGGCUCACCUAGGCGACGAUCCGUAACUGGUCUGAGAGGAUGAUCAGUCACACUGGAACUGAGACACGGUCCAGACUCCUACGGGAGGCAGCAGUGGGGAAUAUUGGACAAUGGGCGAAAGCCUGAUCCAGCCAUGCCGCGUGUGUGAAGAAGGUCUUCGGAUUGUAAAGCACUUUAAGUUGGGAGGAAGGGCAGUAAGCGAAUACCUUGCUGUUUUGACGUUACCGACAGAAUAAGCACCGGCUAACUUCGUGCCAGCAGCCGCCGUAACAC